rnacentral:rRNA from 1 species
UACAGAGGGGGCAAGCGUUGUUCGGAAUUACUGGGCGUAAAGGGCGCGUAGGCGGCCUGUUAAGUCGAACGUGAAAUCCCCGGGCUCAACCCGGGAACUGCGUCCGAUACUGGCAGGCUUGAAUCCGGGAGAGGGAUGCGGAAUUCCAGGUGUAGCGGUGAAAUGCGUAGAUAUCACUUGGAACGCCAAUGGUGAAAACAGGUAGCUGGGGAUGUGCCGACGCUGAGACACGAAAGCCAGGGGAGCGAACGGG